rnacentral:rRNA from 1 species
GGUUAAGUUAGAAAGGGCGCACGGUGGAUGCCUUGACACUAGGAGUCGAUGAAGGACGGGACUAACGCCGAUAUGCUUCGGGGAGCUGUAAGUAAGCUUUGAUCCGAAGAUUUCCGAAUGGGGAAACCCACCAUACGUAAUGGUAUGGUAUCCUUAUCUGAAUACAUAGGGUAAGGAAGACAGACCCAGGGAACUGAAACAUCUAAGUACCUGGAGGAAGAGAAAGCAAAUGCGAUUUCCUGAGUAGCGGCGAGCGAAACGGAACAUAGCCCAAACCAAGAGGCUUGCCUCUUGGGGUUGUAGGACAUUCUAUACGGAGUUACAAAGGAACGAGGUAGACGAAGCGACCUGGAAAGGUCCGUCGUAGAGGGUAACAACCCCGUAGUCGAAACUUCGUUCUCUCUUGAAUGUAUCCUGAGUACGGCGGAACACGUGAAAUUCCGUCGGAAUCUGGGAGGACCAUCUCCCAAGGCUAAAUACUCCCUAGUGAUCGAUAGUGAACCAGUACCGUGAGGGAAAGGUGAAAAGCACCCCGGAAGGGGAGUGAAAGAGAUCCUGAAACCGUGUGCCUACAAAUAGUCAGAGCCCGUUAACGGGUGAUGGCGUGCCUUUUGUAGAAUGAACCGGCGAGUUACGAUCCCGUGCGAGGUUAAGCUGAAGAGGCGGAGCCGCAGCGAAAGCGAGUCUGAAUAGGGCGUUUAGUACGUGGUCGUAGACCCGAAACCAGGUGAUCUACCCAUGUCCAGGGUGAAGUUCAGGUAACACUGAAUGGAGGCCCGAACCCACGCACGUUGAAAAGUGCGGGGAUGAGGUGUGGGUAGCGGAGAAAUUCCAAUCGAACCUGGAGAUAGCUGGUUCUCCCCGAAAUAGCUUUAGGGCUAGCCUUAAGUGUAAGAGUCUUGGAGGUAGAGCACUGAUUGGACUAGGGGUCCUCAUCGGAUUACCGAAUUCAGUCAAACUCCGAAUGCCAAUGACUUAUCCUUAGGAGUCAGACUGCGAGUGAUAAGAUCCGUAGUCAAAGGGAAACAGCCCAGACCGCCAGCUAAGGUCCCAAAGUGUGUAUUAAGUGGAAAAGGAUGUGGAGUUGCUUAGACAACUAGGAUGUUGGCUUAGAAGCAGCCACCAUUUAAAGAGUGCGUAAUAGCUCACUAGUCGAGUGACUCUGCGCCGAAAAUGUACCGGGGCUAAAUACACCACCGAAGCUGCGGAUUGAUACCAAUGGUAUCAGUGGUGGGGAGCGUUCUAAGGACAGUGAAGUCAGACCGGAAGGACUGGUGGAGUGCUUAGAAGUGAGAAUGCCGGUAUGAGUAGCGAAAGACGGGUGAGAAUCCCGUCCACCGAAUGCCUAAGGUUUCCUGAGGAAGGCUCGUCCGCUCAGGGUUAGUCAGGACCUAAGCCGAGGCCGACAGGCGUAGGCGAUGGACAACAGGUUGAUAUUCCUGUACCACCUCUUUAUCGUUUGAGCAAUGGAGGGACGCAGAAGGAUAGAAGAAGCGUGCGAUUGGUUGUGCACGUCCAAGCAGUUAGGCUGAUAAGUAGGCAAAUCCGCUUAUCAUAAAGGCUGAGCUGUGGUGGGAUAGCUCCUUAUGGAGCGAAGUCUUUGAUUCCCCGCUGCCAAGAAAAGCUUCUAGCGAGAUAAAAGGUGCCUGUACCGCAAACCGACACAGGUAGGCGAGGAGAGAAUCCUAAGGUGUGCGAGAGAACUCUGGUUAAGGAACUCGGCAAAAUGACCCCGUAACUUCGGGAGAAGGGGUGCUUUCUUAACGGAAAGCCGCAGUGAAUAGGCCCAAGCGACUGUUUAGCAAAAACACAGCUCUCUGCGAAGCCGUAAGGCGAAGUAUAGGGGGUGACACCUGCCCGGUGCUGGAAGGUUAAGGAGAGGGGUUAGCGUAAGCGAAGCUCUGAACUGAAGCCCCAGUAAACGGCGGCCGUAACUAUAACGGUCCUAAGGUAGCGAAAUUCCUUGUCGGGUAAGUUCCGACCCGCACGAAAGGUGUAACGAUUUGGGCACUGUCUCAACCAGAGACUCGGUGAAAUUAUAGUACCUGUGAAGAUGCAGGUUACCCGCGACAGGACGGAAAGACCCCGUGGAGCUUUACUGUAGCCUGAUAUUGAAUUUUGGUACAGUUUGUACAGGAUAGGCGGGAGCCUUUGAAACCGGAGCGCUAGCUUCGGUGGAGGCGCUGGUGGGAUACCGCCCUGACUGUAUUGAAAUUCUAACCUACGGGUCUUAUCGACCCGGGAGACAGUGUCAGGUGGGCAGUUUGACUGGGGCGGUCGCCUCCUAAAGUGUAACGGAGGCGCCCAAAGGUUCCCUCAGAAUGGUUGGAAAUCAUUCGUAGAGUGCAAAGGCAUAAGGGAGCUUGACUGCGAGACCUACAAGUCGAGCAGGGACGAAAGUCGGGCUUAGUGAUCCGGUGGUUCCGCAUGGAAGGGCCAUCGCUCAACGGAUAAAAGCUACCCCGGGGAUAACAGGCUUAUCUCCCCAAGAGUCCACAUCGACGGGGAGGUUUGGCACCUCGAUGUCGGCUCAUCGCAUCCUGGGGCUGUAGUCGGUCCCAAGGGUUGGGCUGUUCGCCCAUUAAAGCGGUACGCGAGCUGGGUUCAGAACGUCGUGAGACAGUUCGGUCCCUAUCCGUCGUGGGCGUAGGAAAUUUGAGAGGAGCUGUCCUUAGUACGAGAGGACCGGGAUGGACGCACCGCUGGUGUACCAGUUGUUCUGCCAAGGGCAUAGCUGGGUAGCUAUGUGCGGAAGGGAUAAGUGCUGAAAGCAUCUAAGCAUGAAGCCCCCCUCAAGAUGAGAUUUCCCAUAGCGUAAGCUAGUAAGAUCCCUGAAAGAUGAUCAGGUUGAUAGGUUCGAGGUGGAAGCAUGGUGACAUGUGGAGCUGACGAAUACUAAUAGAUCGAGGACUUAACCAU